rnacentral:rRNA from 1 species
CCUACGGGAGGCAGCAGUGGGGGAUAUUGCACAAUGGGGGGAACCCUGAUGCAGCGACGCCGCGUGGGUGAAGGAGCGUUUCGGCGCGUAAAGCCCUAUCGGCAGGGAAGAAGAUGACGGUACCUGACCAAGAAGCCCCGGCUAACUACGUGCCAGCAGCCGCGGUAAUACGUAGGGGGCAAGCGUUAUCCGGAUUUACUGGGUGUAAAGGGCGUGCAGCCGGAGAGACAAGUCAGAUGUGAAAUCCGCGGGCUCAACCCGCGAACUGCAUUUGAAACUGUUUCCCUUGAGUAUCGGAGAGGUCAUCGGAAUUCCUAGUGUAGCGGUGAAAUGCGUAGAUAUUAGGAAGAACACCAGUGGCGAAGGCGGAUGACUGGACGACAACUGACGGUGAGGCGCGAAAGCGUGGGGAGCAAACAGGAUUAGAUACCCGUGUAGUC